GGGAUUAGGAGGGAUUGCUAAAUCACUUGGAAACUGACUUGAAAACGUAAAAACAAAGUUUAAAGCACUAAACUAGACUCAAAGAAUGUAAAACUAUACUUUAAAACACUAAAACAAACCAAAAGACUCAAAACAGCACCUAAACACUCAAAACUGCCUUAAAAACACAAUCUGGGCAGUUUUGAACACUAAGGAAGAAUUUGAACGAAAAUAAGUUAUAACUUGACUCAAGACACUUAAAAACACAAACUAAAUUGAUUUCUAACUAAUAUGACUCAACAAAAUAAAGGGGGAUUGAUUUUAGACGAAUUUGAAAACAAAACAAGAACUUUG
rnacentral:lncRNA from 1 species